rnacentral:rRNA from 1 species
GUGGGGAAUAUUGCACAAUGGGCGCAAGCCUGAUGCAGCCAUGCCGCGUGUAUGAAGAAGGCCUUCGGGUUGUAAAGUACUUUCAGCGAGGAGGAAGGCGUUAAGGUUAAUAACCUUGGCGAUUGACGUUACUCGCAGAAGAAGCACCGGCUAACUCCGUGCCAGCAGCCGCGGUAAUACGGAGGGUGCAAGCGUUAAUCGGAAUUACUGGGCGUAAAGCGCACGCAGGCGGUCUGUUAAGUCAGAUGUGAAAUCCCCGGGCUCAACCUGGGAACUGCAUUUGAAACUGGCAGGCUUGAGUCUUGUAGAGGGGGGUAGAAUUCCAGGUGUAGCGGUGAAAUGCGUAGAGAUCUGGAGGAAUACCGGUGGCGAAGGCGGCCCCCUGGACAAAGACUGACGCUCAGGUGCGAAAGCGUGGGGAGCAAACAGGAUUAGAAACCCUUGUAGUCC